AAGUGUGAGUGUAACAGACCCAGGGUAACAUGUGCAACAGUUAAGUAGAGGGGGGGGUCUGCAGCUGAACCUAAAGUUAGGGAUGUUGGAUGGACAGUAGGCCUACACUGUCCUCCAGUAUUGGUGCUUUUAAAGAAGAUUAGGCUAUUUAAAGAUAAAUUGUAGCCCGCAGGACAGGACUGGCGUACGCUACUAAUCAAGAAAGGACAUUGGUAACUUUGGCCUUGCAAACACACCCAAGAUGGAGCCACAGGUGUAUAGCCUACUGGGUGGUAAAAUGCUAAAUGUUGAAAUGCAAGCGGCGAGUUGUAUUCGGGAGCUUUGACUUUCACUCAGUGCGUGUGAGGCCUUUCUGCUGUUUGUGACACGAAUCCUUGAAAUGAUUGCAGAGCUUCUUUCAGCUAAAAAAUGUUAAGAACAAUGUGGAAGCGCAGUGGGACUGAGAUGUCGAGUGGACUGGUUAGAUACACUGGGACAGAGCGGCUGAGUGGACUGGUUGCUUUGAGAAUGGACGAGCGGACAAAUGGAAGAAGGCCUUCAGAAUACCGUUCAGACAGGGUUGGUUGUUCCCCUAUCAAUACGACUUCCCAGGGGGAAGCCUUGAAUCAGACAAGAGACAGAAGUCACUGAUGGGAUUGCUGCUAGAAUUGCAAGCGGGAGGCCAGGCAGUCUAACAAAUGAAGAAAGAAUGCCUGAUCAAGCGCAGCAGGGGAAGAAGGCAGGCUGGGAGGCCAAAGGGAUUUGUAACUGUGUGUGUGUGUGUGUACGACCAUGUGUGCAUGUCUGGGCAUGGCAGUCAUAAGAUUUUUCUGUUUUCUGACUGGAAAAAAAAAAAGCUUUGUAAGAGGAUACACACUGCCUUUAGGCCAACUGUGUAGAGUCCAGGAAAAGUUUUUCUCUGUUAACCAAAGUGAGCAUACUGUAAUUACAAAGCUGCCUCUGAGAUGAAAGGCAAAGUUGUGUGUGAUUGAUAUUCAA